UAUUUGCAGGUGAGGGUGUGAGGUGGCGUUCAAAGGUUGUCAAGGGGUUGUGAGGAGCUAUAGGGCUCAAGUUCGAGGUUGAAGAUUAGAAACCGAAGGUUGAAGAUCAGAUUUGGGAUUAGAUGAGUCGUUGGUACAACUGACGUCGUCGUGGUGUAGGUCAGAUGAGUCGCCGGAGUCCAGGCCAAGUAACAGUGUCGCUGGAGUUUCGGGAAGCUAACGAUGUCAUCAAUUCGAGUGCAGGUGAUGUGCCGAUUAUUGAUUUUGGAUCAAUUACUAACUGUUUGCCAUUUUCUUUCUAGAAAAUCAAUGUAGUGUCUGCUUCUUAAUCUUGUUCUCUAUGAGUACCAUCGUUACCGUCUCUGGUAAAAACAUCUAACCAUAUGCCAGAUUCGUUGAUUCAGGCUACAAAAGUACCUGUUAAAGAGUAUGAGUUUGAUGAAAAGAAGAUGGCAAAUGUGCAGUCUCAUCUGGAAAAAUUGGUUGCCAAUAACUAUUACUUGAACAGGUCUCCAAAAGAUGCGUACAGAUAAAUAUAUUAUUCAUGAAGUGAAGGCAAGAAUAGUUGAAUGGUAUAUGAUUAUGAACAGGGGCAAAUGCAUAAAACAAAUUAUGAUUCUUUUUAUUAUGGAUGGUGCACAGGACAAGGGCAGGCUGGUCAAGACUGGAAGGUUUACACAUUCAUAUCCAUUUUGUUGAAGAUCUGAUACCCCUCUUAUCUACAGAGCAGUUCCCAUGAUGAGCAGUUGCUUGAAGCAGCUUGGUGUCUUACAAACAUAGCUGCUGGAAAACCUAAAGAAACAAGAGCUUAAUUGCCUGCAUUACCUUUACUCAUUGCUCAAAUUGGAGGUUAGUGUUAAGUACUUAGUUUUUAAUAUUUCUUGAUUUUUUCAUAUCACUUCAAUGGCGUAAUUCUAAUUUUGUAAUUGUUAUCCAAAAAAGAGUUCAGUGCCUGUUGCAGAGCAGUGUGCAUAAGCAUUAGGAAAUGUUGCAGGAGAAGGUGAAGAACCGAGACAAAUUCUGAUUUCUCAAGGGGCAUUACUUCCUCUUGCAAAAAUGAUGUUGC